rnacentral:ncRNA from 1 species
AUAAAGGCGAUGAUAAGAUAAAGUAGAUAUGUCAAGUAUUUCAAAGAGAGUGGGAUAAAGAUGUGAACCCAUAAAUACGCAUUUCGAAAAUCAUCUUGAAGCUGUAGGCUGAAAUUCAAGUAAGCUGAUCCGGUUAUGUAAAUCGUUAUUUAAAUCAAGUAAAAAAAUGGGUGGUACCGCGGCAGACAUUUCGCCCCAGCG